rnacentral:lncRNA from 1 species
CAAAACCACAUUCCUGCUGCUGUCAGUUAUGAUGCACUGAGAAAACUUCAGAGACCUAAACAUUUUCCAGAGAAGAGAAGCUUUACUGGUGUUCCAGUCCUAAGCAACCAUCUUUCCUGUGAAAAAUCCCCUCUCCUAGUACUUUAGUUCUGUGGAUCCAAAAAUUAUAGCAUUCUUCUCCCACCACGGGGGCUCAUAACGACAUUAACAGACACUUUUCAGAAAGACAGGUUGUUCUUUUGGGCCACAUCUAAGAAAUCUUUGUCUAGCCAAAAGCCACAAAUAAUUUCUCACUUUUUGGCUUCCGGAAGAUGUACACUUAAAUGUUAUAUUUGGGACUGUUAUCUAAUUUGAUUAAAUUGCUCUCUACAAUAUGAUAUUUGAAUUGAUGAAAAAUUAGUAAAUGUUAAUAUUUUUUAAAGUAGCCAAAUCUUGCAAUUUAUAUGUAAUAGAGAAGACUAGAAAAUCCCCCAUAUUUAUUUCCUCUUACUUCAUACUAUUAAAAUUUGUAUUUAGGCAUUUGGUUUUUCAGAUAAACAUUACAUUCCCCAGUACAUGGUUCUAUCUGGCUUGGUGACAACAUGAUGAACACUAAGAUGUGAGCAGAAGUAAUACACACACAUUCUUUUCAAUGUCUUUAACUGAAUGGGAUAUUGGCCCAUUUUUUCUUCCAGUUUAUUACACUGAAUAUUGACAUGUUGUUUUCCAAUAUUGAGACAAUCAACGACAAGACUUUAAGAGUAACAAUGUAAAAAUUAUAGAAGUUGUCUGAGUUUAUCAACAAUCCCCUGGAUUAGAACCCCCUACCAGUUCUAGGUCAUCUAAUAUAUAGACAUUGUGUUCAGUAGAAAUAAAUAUAUAUAUUUUUUAUUAUACUUUAAGUUCUAGGAUACAUGUGCACAACAUGCAGGUUUGUUAUAUUGGUUUACAUGUGCCAUGUUGGUUUGCUGCACCCAUUAACUCAUCAUUUACAUUAGGUAUUUCUCCUAAUGCUAUCCCUCCUCCCGUCCCCCACCCCGCAACAGGCCCUGGGGUGUGAUGUUCCCCAUCCUGUGUCCAAGUGUUCUCAUUGCUCAAUUCCCACCUACGGGAAUAAAUUUUUCAAUCAUUUUUAAAGGUGUUAUUACAUUCUGAUUGAACAUUCUCAGAAAGAAUAAAUAAUUUAAUACAAGAAGUGGGCCACUUCAUGUAACAAAACAAACCACCACUACAGCAACAACAACAAAAAACACUAAUGAACGUGACUUUAGCUUUGCAACAGCAUGACAGACUAGCAAGUUAAUGACAUUUGUUAUGCCAUGGAAAAUAUUUGUUGAAUUGCCACUCUAAUGACUUUAUAUCAACCAACUCAUUAUCGACACUAGAAAAGAUGAUUAAAAAUACUUCAGUACAUUCACAUGUUGGCUUGUUAACAUUUUUAAGAGUCUAUAAGAGAAAAAUGCAUCCAAUGUCGACAAAAAUAUUUUUCAAGUAUCUUGUAGGUACGUACAACUAACUACCUUGUGAACAAAAGUCACUAUAUAAUUAUACAAUUUCUGACACUUAAGAAAGUUUAUUGUGCAAAGGAAGAUAUAUGUUCUAAUACUAAAUCCACAUAUAAAAUAAUUGACUUAUUUAAAUAAUUUAAGAUGCUCUUUUAUAUAUUUAUAUUAAAAACAUUACAGCAAAUAAAAAAGGCAUUAUACAGGCUACUUAUGGUUUUUGACGUUUUGGUCUAUAAUACAUCUAUCAAAGAUUGUGGAAAUAAAUCCAACAAUAUAUUCAA